GUCCUCGAACACCGCGCCGCCCACGGUGGCCAGCACCAGGAUGCGGAAGAUCAGCAUGACCACCAGCCACAGGCGGCCCACCAGCGGCGACUGCAGCUGCACGGCGUCCAGCAGCGAGCUGAGGAACGCCCACUCCCCCAUGGCGCUGGGGGCGAGGGGGGGGGCGUCAGCGGCCGCAGGCAGGGCCCCCCACCCAUGCCCCCGGGAGUGGGCCCAGUGGGACCUCCUCUAACCUCCUGGAUGUAUUGGGCCACUUUGAGGCCAGUGAAGAUACUGUCUGACUGAAAGGAAACAAAUCUGACUUCAGAAAGUACUGAGGACAGAUGUAAGGGGGAAUGUAAAAUGAUACAAGCUCUUUGAAAAGGUUUGGCAGUUUCUUACAAAGAAUAAUUUCCCAAAGGUGGAAUUACUGAGGAAAGGGAUAUUGGGCAGACAAGAACAGAUAUCCAUUACACUUGAAGAAAAAGUGAGUUAAAAAGUUUUCUGUGUGCUUGAAUUUCAGGAAAAAUGGCCAGAAAUCACUGAAGUCCCAUUGCAUCAGAACAAAUUUAUCUACUAAUACAAUUUUUGAAUCCCUUAUUUUCUCAAUAACCAUUUUUUAUACCUUGUA